GUGAAUCAUCGAAUCUUUGAACGCAUAUGGCACCUGCUAAUUAUUAUUAGAAGGUAUGCCUGUUUGAGAAUCAUAUUUAUUUAUAUUCCUUGUUGAUCAGAUUCGAUUUGAUGAUCCAUGUUUGUGGAUUGUCAUUGAUGAUUUGAACAAGUGGGAAUGAAUUGGACUUUUAUCAUUAAUUGUCUUGAAUAAUGAAAUGUGACUAUUGAAUGAUAGAUGGAAUGUAAUGCUCAAUUAGAUUCAAUAAAUGUUUGAUAGUCAACUGAUAACAACAACAACAAUGAUCUCAAAUCAGGCAAG
rnacentral:misc_RNA from 1 species